UACGGAGGGUGCGAGCGUUGUCCGGAAUCAUUGGGCGUAAAGGGCGCGUAGGCGGUCUCUUAAGCGUGUGGUGAAAGCCCGGGCUCAACUCCGGGUCGGCCGUGCGAACUGGGGGACUGGAGCUUGUCAGAGGCAGGCGGAAUUCCGGGUGUAGCGGUGGAAUGCGUAGAGAUCCGGAAGAACACCGGUGGCGAAGGCGGCCUGCUGGGACAAUGCUGACGCUGAGGCGCGACAGCGUGGGGAGCAAACAGG
rnacentral:rRNA from 1 species